AAAUUGAAGAGUUUGAUCAUGGCUCAGAUUGAACGCUGGCGGCAGGCCUAACACAUGCAAGUCGAGCGGUAGCACAGAGAGCUUGCUCUCGGGUGACGAGCGGCGGACGGGUGAGUAAUGUCUGGGAAACUGCCUGAUGGAGGGGGAUAACUACUGGAAACGGUAGCUAAUACCGCAUAACGUCGCAAGACCAAAAGUGGGGGACCUUCGGGCCUCAUGCCAUCAGAUGUGCCCAGAUGGGAUUAGCUAGUAGGUGGGGUAACGGCUCACCUAGGCGACGAUCCCUAGCUGGUCUGAGAGGAUGACCAGCCACACUGGAACUGAGACACGGUCCAGACUCCUACGGGAGGCAGCAGUGGGGAAUAUUGCACAAUGGGCGCAAGCCUGAUGCAGCCAUGCCGCGUGUGUGAAGAAGGCCUUCGGGUUGUAAAGCACUUUCAGCGGGGAGGAAGGCGGUGAGGUUAAUAACCUCACCGAUUGACGUUACCCGCAGAAGAAGCACCGGCUAACUCCGUGCCAGCAGCCGCGGUAAUACGGAGGGUGCAAGCGUUAAUCGGAAUUACUGGGCGUAAAGCGCACGCAGGCGGUCUGUCAAGUCGGAUGUGAAAUCCCCGGGCUCAACCUGGGAACUGCAUUCGAAACUGGCAGGCUAGAGUCUUGUAGAGGGGGGUAGAAUUCCAGGUGUAGCGGUGAAAUGCGUAGAGAUCUGGAGGAAUACCGGUGGCGAAGGCGGCCCCCUGGACAAAGACUGACGCUCAGGUGCGAAAGCGUGGGGAGCAAACAGGAUUAGAUACCCUGGUAGUCCACGCCGUAAACGAUGUCGAUUUGGAGGUUGUGCCCUUGAGGCGUGGCUUCCGGAGCUAACGCGUUAAAUCGACCGCCUGGGGAGUACGGCCGCAAGGUUAAAACUCAAAUGAAUUGACGGGGGCCCGCACAAGCGGUGGAGCAUGUGGUUUAAUUCGAUGCAACGCGAAGAACCUUACCUGGUCUUGACAUCCACAGAACUUAGCAGAGAUGCUUUGGUGCCUUCGGGAACUGUGAGACAGGUGCUGCAUGGCUGUCGUCAGCUCGUGUUGUGAAAUGUUGGGUUAAGUCCCGCAACGAGCGCAACCCUUAUCCUUUGUUGCCAGCGGUUAGGCCGGGAACUCAAAGGAGACUGCCAGUGAUAAACUGGAGGAAGGUGGGGAUGACGUCAAGUCAUCAUGGCCCUUACGACCAGGGCUACACACGUGCUACAAUGGCAUAUACAAAGAGAAGCGACCUCGCGAGAGCAAGCGGACCUCAUAAAGUAUGUCGUAGUCCGGAUUGGAGUCUGCAACUCGACUCCAUGAAGUCGGAAUCGCUAGUAAUCGUAGAUCAGAAUGCUACGGUGAAUACGUUCCCGGGCCUUGUACACACCGCCCGUCACACCAUGGGAGUGGGUUGCAAAAGAAGUAGGUAGCUUAACCUUCGGGAGGGCGCUUACCACUUUGUGAUUCAUGACUGGGGUGAAGUCGUAACAAGGUAACCGUAGGGGAACCUGCGGUUGGAUCACCUCCUUACCUUAAAGAA
rnacentral:rRNA from 1 species